AAAUGCGAUACUUGGUGUGAAUUGCAGAAUCCCGUGAACCAUCGAGUCUUUGAACGCAAGUUGCGCCCGAAGCCAUUAGGCCGAGGGCACGUCUGCCUGGGCGUCACGCAUCGCGUCGCCCCCCUCCCCGCGCACAGCGCGGCCGAGGUGGGGCGGAUAUUGGCCCCCCGUGUGCCCCGGCACGCGGUCGGCCCAAAUGCGAUCCCUCGGC
rnacentral:rRNA from 1 species